rnacentral:rRNA from 1 species
GAUGAACGCUGGCGGCGUGCUUAACACAUGCAAGUCGAACGGGAAUUAUUUUAUUGCAACUUCGGUCGAUUUAAUUUAAUUCUAGUGGCGGACGGGUGAGUAACGCGUGGGUAACCUGCCUUAUACAGGGGGAUAACAGUCAGAAAUGGCUGCUAAUACCGCAUAAGCGCACAGAGCUGCAUGGCUCAGUGUGCAAAACUCCGGUGGUAUAAGAUGGACCCGCGUUGGAUUAGCUUGUUGGCAGGGUAACGGCCUACCAAGGCGACGAUCCAUAGCCGGCCUGAGAGGGUGAACGGCCACAUUGGGACUGAGACACGGCCCAGACUCCUACGGGAGGCAGCAGUGGGGAAUAUUGCACAAUGGGGGAAACCCUGAUGCAGCGACGCCGCGUGAAGGAAGAAGUAUCUCGGUAUGUAAAAUUCUAUCAGCAGGGAAGAUAGUGACGGUACCUGACUAAGAAGCCCCGGCUAACUACGUG